rnacentral:misc_RNA from 1 species
GAUGAAGAACGUAGCGAAAUGCGAUAAGUAAUGUGAAUUGCAGAAUUCAGUGAAUCAUCGAAUCUUUGAACGCACAUUGCGCCCGCCAGCAUUCUGGCGGGCAUGCCUGUUCGAGGGUCAUUUCAACCCUCGAGCCCCCCCGGGGGCCUCGGUGUUGGGGGACGGCACACCAGCCGCCCCCGAAAUGCAGUGGCGACCCCGCCGCAGCCUCCCCUGCGUAGUAGCACACACCUCGCACCGGAGCGCGGAGGCGGUCACGCCGUAAAACGCCCAACUUUCUUAGAGUUGACCUCGGAUCAGGUAGGAAUACCCGCUGAACUUAAGCAUAUCAAUAAGCGGAGGA